CAGUAGCGUAUAUUAAAGUUGUUGCAGUUAAAAAGCUCGUAGUUGGAUAUAUGGUUGUUUUUAUUUUUUGUUUUGGUUUUUUUUGUUGUUUCAUUUAUUUUUAGAUGAUUUAAUGAAUACCAUUACUGGACACCAUCCUUGAUAUAUUUUUUAUUUAUUAAAAAACAAUAUCAUCUUUUACUUUGAAAAAAUUGGAGUGAUUCAAGCAGGCAUAAUAAUUAGUUAUUUAAUAACUUUUUUUUUUUUUGCUUCUGCACAUAUUAGCAUGGAAUAAUGCAAGAGGACUUGGGUUUUCUCUUUCAUUGGUUUCAGGAAUCCGAGUAAUGAUUGAUAGGGACAGUUGGGGGUGCUCGUACUCGACGGCCAGAGGUGAAAUUCUUGGAUUCGUUGAAGACGAACAACUGCGAAAGCAUUCACCAAGGAUGUCUUCUUUAA
rnacentral:rRNA from 1 species